rnacentral:rRNA from 1 species
CGAACUGCAGCUAACGAAUCGCCCUUAAGUUGACCUGGCUCAGGACGAGCGCUGGCGGCGCGCUUAACACAUGCAAGUCGAGCGAGAACCAGACCUUCGGGUCUGGGGACAGCGGCGAACGGGUGAGUAACACGUGGGUAAUCUGCCCUCGAUUCUGGGAUAGCCCGGGGAAACCCGGAUUAAUACCGGAUAGCCUCUCGAGCUCUCGAGCUCGUGAGAAAAGGUAGCUUCGGCCUCCGAUCGAGGAUGAGCCCGCGGCGGAUUAGCUUGUUGGCGGGGUAACGGCCCACCAAGGCGACGAUCCGUAGCUGGUCUGAGAGGACGAUCAGCCACACUGGGACUGAGAGACGGUCCAGACACCUACGGGUGGCAGCAGUCGAGAAUUUUUCACAAUGGGCGCAAGCCUGAUGGAGCGACGCCGCGUGGGGGAUGAAGGGCUUCGGUCCGUAAACCCCUGUCAUCUGGGAACAAAGCUCAUUCGUUAAGAGCGGAUGAGUUGAUAGUACUGGAAGAGGAAGGGACGGCUAACUCUGUGCCAGCAGCCGCGGUAAUACAGAGGUCCCGAGCGUUGUUCGGAUUCACUGGGCGUAAAGGGUGCGUAGGCGGUCGGGCAAGUCUGAUGUGAAAUCUCCAGGCUCAACCUGGAAAAGGCAUUGGAAACUGCCUGGCUGGAGGCUUGGAGGGGGGACUGGAAUUCUCGGUGUAGCAGUGAAAUGCGUAGAGAUCGAGAGGAACACCAGUGGCGAAGGCGAGUCUCUGGACAAGACCUGACGCUGAGGCGCGAAAGCUAGGGGAGCAAACAGGAUUAGAUACCCUGGUAGUCCUAGCCCUAAACGAUGAUUGCUUGGUGUGGCGGGUACCCAAUCCCGUCGUGCCGCAGCUAACGCGUUAAGCAAUCCGCCUGGGGAGUACGGCCGCAAGGCUGAAACUCAAAGGAAUUGACGGGGGCCCGCACAAGCGGUGGAGCAUGUGGUUCAAUUCGACGCAACGCGAAGAACCUUACCUGGGCUCGAAAUGCAGUGGACCGGGGUGGAAACAUCCCUUUCCGCAAGGACUGCUGCAUAGGUGCUGCAUGGCUGUCGUCAGCUCGUGUCGUGAGAUGUUGGGUUAAGUCCCGCAACGAGCGCAACCCUUAUUGCCAGUUGCUAACACGUUAUGGUGAGCACUCUGGCGAAACCGCCCCGGAUAACGGGGAGGAAGGUGGGGAUGACGUCAAGUCCUCAUGGCCUUUAUGUCCAGGGCUACACACGUGCUACAAUGGCCGAUACAAACCGUCGCAAACCCGCGAGGGGGAGCUAAUCGGAAAAAGUUGGCCUCAGUUCGGAUUGUAGUCUGCAACUCGACUACAUGAAGCUGGAAUCGCUAGUAAUCGCGGAUCAGCACGCCGCGGUGAUACGUUCCCGGGCCUGACACACCGC